rnacentral:rRNA from 1 species
GACGAACGCUGGCGGCGUGCCUAAUACAUGCAAGUAGAACGCUGCAGAGAGGAGCUUGCUCUUCUUGGAUGAGUUGCGAACGGGUGAGUAACGCGUAGGUAACCUGCCUUGUAGCGGGGGAUAACUAUUGGAAACGAUAGCUAAUACCGCAUAACAAUGGAUGACACAUGUCCUUUAUUUGAAAGGGGCAAUUGCUCCACUACAAGAUGGACCUGCGUUGUAUUAGCUAGUAGGUGAGGUAAUGGCUCACCUAGGCGACGAUACAUAGCCGACCUGAGAGGGUGAUCGGCCACACUGGGACGGAGACACGGCCCAGACUCCUGCGGGAGGCAGCAGUAGGGAAUCUUCGGCAAUGGGGGCAACCCUGACCGAGCAACGCCGCGUGAGUGAAGAAGGUUGUCGGAUCGUAAAGCUCAGUUGUAAGUCAAGAACGGGUGUGAGAGUGGAAAGUUCACACUGUGACGGUAGCUUACCAGAAAGGGACGGCUAACUACGUG